CAAUUUUUACAAAAUUCUCGCACAAGAGAACAACAAAAAUAUAAAUUUAUGUAUAUUAAAAACAACAACAAGUCAACAAUCAUAAAGGAACAAAUAUUCAAAUGGUAAAACAUUUUACAUGUAACCGUAUAGUAAACAAUCAUAUUAUAUAAACUUCUCGUGGUCGUGAAUGCUAUAAAUUGUUGUUGGGUAUUUUUUUCGUUCCUUUGUUUCGUGUAUGUGAAUUUUGUGCACGUGAGUUUCUUAUUUGCGUGAGUUUUUGUUUUCGUGUCAAUUGCUUUGCUCUUGUUUUUGUUUUGGUGGUGUCGUACGUUUUUGUGAAGUUGUUUUUUGUUUUGGUGGUGUCGUACGUUUUCGUGAAGUUUUUUUUUGUUUUGGUGGUGUUGUAUGUUUUCGUGAAGUUUUUUUUUUGUUUUGGUGGUGUUGUAUGUUUUUGUUUUUGUUUUUGUGUGUCGUAUGUUUUUGUUNNNNNNNNNNNNNNNNNNNNNNNNGUUUUUGUUUUUGUGUGUUGUAUGUUUUUGUUUUUGUGUGUUGUAUGUUUUUGUUUUCAAUGUUUUGUUUUUGUGAAUUUUUGACAAGAUACAAGAGACAUAAGGAGAGAGAAACUUUCACCUUACUUAUCACUUACUCUUGGAUCUCCAGAUUAUUUGUGACAUAAGGAUGGAUACAUCUUGUUAGGGAGAAAAU
rnacentral:lncRNA from 1 species